rnacentral:rRNA from 1 species
AUACGGAGGGUGCAAGCGUUAUCCGGAAUCAUUGGGUUUAAAGGGUCCGUAGGCGGACUAUUAAGUCAGAGGUGAAAUCCCACAGCUCAACUGUGGAACUGCCUUUGAUACUGGUAGUCUUGAGUUAUAUGGAAGUAGAUAGAAUGUGUAGUGUAGCGGUGAAAUGCCUAGAUCUUACACAGAAUACCGAUUGCGAAGGCAGUCUACUACGUAUAUACUGACGCUAAGGGACGAAAGCGUGGGGAGCGAACAGGAUUAGAAACCCCGGUAGUCC